UGGAGAGGUGCCAACCUGGGGGACGGGUUCUCUUCUGAAAGAUGCUGGAGACAUCUUGUACAAGCUCCCCCUACAAGCACAGAGGAAAAUGUCUCCAUCAGCUGCCAGAAGGGACUCACGCAGGAGGAAGAAGCAAGCCUUCAGCUGCAGUUCUGGUCAUCAGUGGGGAUCUGGAAUUCAGAGUCGAAAAAUAAAUGCUCCAGAAAAAUGCUGUGAACAAAGCUGCUAGGCCUAUUUCCUGUCAACAGAAAGCAAUCCCCAGCUCUUCCAAGCCACGGCUCAUAAAGAAAGAGGGACUUUGCAUCAGAGCUGUGAGAGCCGUGCUGCUGCUUGCUCGGUGCUGGAGCAGGCUGUAGGGCCGGCCGUGCUGGCGCAGGUCCCAUUUCCUGCAGCACUUGCCUGGCUCAGCGCUGAGUCUGUGCUGCACACUGGGCACAGGGAGAAAUCUUUCCUGGUUGACUCUUCUGGACUGACUUUCCGAGGCAGGAGCUGGAAACCACCACGUCAUCAGCGUUUCAGCACACAGAGAUGCUAUAAAUCCCAGUGAAUGAGGCCCACUGUGGAGUGGUUACUUUCAGGCAUACUGCUACCAAUCUAUCCAGAGAGAGCUGGUCUCUGGGCAUCACUGACAGGACUUGGAUAACAGAGCAGGAGCAGGGGAGAGAUGUACAGGAGUCAUUUAAAAAUAGAAAAAUAUAAGUUAAAAACAAACUCUUGGAUGUAACUUGAAAAAUAAGCUAGUAGGAAAUAUGAAACAAAUGCAAAUAUCUCCAGGUUUCUAGUUCUUCAAAAGUGAUGAUGGUUCAGGUGGGUGAUGAGAAGCUACAGAACUAUUAAAUCAAAGAAAAAAAGAGAGUGUACGUACAUAUGUAUGCAUUUUGAAAGACUAAUGCUGAAUUAUAAAUACUCCUGAAUCAUAAAAUAUUGAGCUUGUCAGGGGUUUCUGUUGAAGGCAGAACAUCUGAUUUCAUUUGUUCCCAGCACAGCCUGUAUGAGCUAUCACAUUAAAAACAGAAAAAAGGGAGAAAGACACCACGAUAUCCUGUAGGCUUAAAAUAAUAAUAAUAAUAAUAAUAAUUAAUGGCAGCUGAGUAAUUAUUAAUGGGAAUCUCAGCAUGAAUGGGUGUAUGGAAUCAGCUCUUUCCAUGCAAUCAUCAGUAGAUGAGCUGCAAGAGGCAUGGUUCUUUCUUCUCUUACAAAAGCAGUAAUAUUUAUCAUUGUGAAGGCUUAUCCAUAAUGCAGGAUAGUGGGGAGGUGUCACAUUUGUAGACACAGCCUGAGGAGCACAAGGAUCUGCCCAGGAAGGAAGAAGAGCCGCGAGCAGCUCAGGGAAGGUGGAGGAGGAAGCAGCUCUGACAGAAUCAGUGACCUGCAUUCUCAGACCACUGAAUUGCAGGAAGACUUGGAGUCAGAGCGAGCAGACAGCAAAUAAAGCAGAAAAUCAGAUUAGAGUAUAAUGAGCAACUGAAAGUCCUUCAGCUAGCAGCAAAGCCUUCUGCUGGAAGGAGAGGGAUGGCACUGCCUGAGAAAGCAGUCAGCUCUGGGAUCAAGCUGGACAACAACAGAGGUGUGUGUGAUAGUAUCAUAUGGGCUUCUCUUACUGACUUCCACUGAGUACUGCUGAAAAGAAAAUGGUGUGUGGUGAAAUCAUUAAUGCAGGGAGAUACGUGAAUUUCUAGCAGCAAGUGGAAAACUGAAUGGCGCUCUACCAAGCCAAAACCUUACUGCUCUUGAGGGUGUGUGCAUAUAUUUGUGAUGCCCAGAAAGUCUUUGAGAUGAUCCAAAUAACAAUGAUGCCCAAAUAACCAAAAGGCCCACAGGAGAGGCUUAUGGUGCAGAAUCCUUCAGAUCUCUGCAUUGUAACUGCUGCAAACUCUCAUGUGGAUGUGUGUAUUGACUAGAGAGAUUUCUAUGUAUUUAGCUUCUUUUUGUGGAUGCAAAGAGCAAGUCAAACCAAGGUAAUGUUGUCUGGAUUCAACAUGCAUCAGAUACAGAAGCCAUGCUUGUUUAAAGCAGUACCUCGAGGGCAGGUUUCUUUCAUCUUCAGUGAGCAGGGUGCAUGACUUGGAGCUAAGGACUUCCAUGUACAAUGCUGCCCACGGCCCUUCUGCCUGUUAGCCUGCAGCUGCACUUUGUCCUGCCCAACGGCCGCUCAGCUCUGGGAGCUGCCGUUAAUUUCCCCAGGGCAAGAGAAUGCAGUACUGGGUAGGAACAGAAGGUUGAUUAUGCGUGUCCUGGUUAAAUGUGUCCACUGGAGGCUGCUCGUGCUGCUCCCUUAACAGAAAGUGCCUGAAAGUACUGAAGCUGGAGCCGUGCUUGACUGCAGAGAGGAUGUCCAGGACUGAGAGAUCCAUCACUGCCGAUGUGAGAUGGACAGGCAUAACUGAGGUGGGGGACAGACACAGAGUGAUGCGCAUUGGGAGACCUGGCAGCAGAGCAGAGUGCUGUUAGCAAAGCCUGCUGCAAAAGGCUGCAGGUAGCUAUUACCUCAUCAUGUAAUGCUCGCACUAAACGGGGCUGCGCUGUCUCUCAGGUCACUCAUGUAGCACCUGGUAAUGCUGCUCUGUUCAGCCACAGAAUGUUGCCUUUGACAGCACUGGGUUGCACCCCCUUUUCAUCUGCCAUUCUGCAAAGCAUCGGUACACAGAGAUAGAAAAAAAGGGAAACAGAGGAUAUACAGAAGUUCACUACAAGAGAAUCAGACUGCUUGCUCAGAUGUUUUUCUUCUCCCCCCUCUGCUUCUCUGAAUUAACCCUCUCCAGUUGUCUCUAUCUCUAGAGGAAGAUGCUGGUGUCCAGCGCUAUUUUAGACCCCCUAAGGUGCCACUUCUGCCCUCCAGCUGCUGCUUCUGCACUGACUGGUCUCUGGAGGUGCUUUGCUGGAUCCAGCAGCUCCGUGCUGCCUAAGAAAUCUCAGGGUGCCUCAGGUAGUGCCAGGCACCACUGGCUGCUUAGGCAAAUUCUGAUGGCAGCUCCUUCUCUUUUUUUUCUAUGGCCCUUUCCUGUUGUUUCCUUUUUUCGUUCAAUUCGGGCCUCGGUAGCACCCCAGGAAGUGAUGGCUGGUGUUUCUGUAGAACUGCAGCUGCCAGCAGUGUUUGUGUUGUAGCCACAGCCACUGCAGCAGUGCAGCAAGUGGAGAUAAGCAGUGCCAGCUGGUUGUGGCACAGAAAAUUCUCCUUCCUCUCCUUGAAAGGAAAGAGCAGGAAGGAAAAUGAUAAAGUAGAGAAGCGUUCAUUCCAGCUGUGGAUUCAACUGCCCUGCACAAGCAGUAAUCAUCAGCACUGGAGGGCAAAGACCUUGCACAACAUCUUUCCUUUGCUUCAGCAGAUGUCCAGAGCCCACUGGUGAGUGAGGACAGGGGUCUGAAUGGGACAGAUCCAGUGAGGAUCUCCUCUGAGGGAAGGACUUGCAUAACAAGCCCUUGUCACCUCCUUUCUGCUCAAUAUUAGGAAAAUUUUUAUGAUAAAUCCAUUAAUGAUAUGCAGUUCUUUCCCUACUGCUCCCCUCUCCCCUUCUGUCCCUGUUAGCCUUUUUAAAUGUGCAGCUGCGCAAUGCUUUCCCAACCUAAAAAGUAAAAUCAGAAAGAAAACAGAGGUUAAAAACCCAAUGUCACUCUGCAGCUCAGGCCUGAUGUGGCACCAACUUAACAGUGCAGGCUGCCUGUUAUCAGUUAUAGAAAUGGGAAAAUGUUGCUUUUUCCAGAUCAUCAUAGUGAAUCCUCUGCAGUGCUGGGUGCAGGAGCGCACUGGCAGGGCAGCAAUGUCCCCAUAAGGCUUUGCCUGCCUGUGCUGCGUGGGGAUUGUGCAAAGCUGUGCAAAGACUUAUCAGAUAAUUUGUGAGCAGCUGUGACCCAGACAGAGAGCGGUUGUUUUCCCACUCCUUCCUUGCAUCCUGUGAGGGAGAUGGGAUCCUGGGCAGGGAUGUAAGGGGCAAAGAGGAUGUCAGCAUGCAUCUUCCUAAGGAAUUCUUCAUCUGUUUUGAAGAAUUGUUCUCCCUUUUCUGUUAAAGCAUAUGGUUAACAGAGAAAUCAGCUGCAUUGUGCCCUAAAUCCAUGUGGAUACUAUUUUUUUUCUGAUGCAAUGAAGCAUUCAGUGUAUAGCUCCCUAUAAUGUGGUCUGAUAGAGCAUCUUCUGUUCACCACUGUGUAUGUGUUUCUUUGAUUGCUUUGUGACUAAUGCAAUUGGAAACAUAUUCCAAACACAAUGAUGGGAAGAAAGAGAGGCCGAAUUUCCCUUCAAUGCUUGCCAUGUGAUUAUCUUUACUCGUGCGGUUUUCUGCAAUCCUUUUGCAUACGCUACUACUACUCACUGAGUUGAGAGUCUCCCUGCCUUUGUGACAUUAAAGGAACCAUUCUUUCACAGUGUGGGGUUUUCCAGGUUAGCAACAGAAGUAACAUUGCAUUUCUUAAAGCAGACCUUCUGCAAGUGAGGUUUGUGAACACUGGUGCCAUGGGUCAAGGUCUGCUCCACCUCCACAGAGGAAGCAAACCAUGGCCAUUGACCCCACAGUAACCUGCCUCACCCCCAGUUGCUCUUCC